GAUGAAGAACGCAGCUAAAUGCGAUAAGUAAUGUGAAUUGCAGAAUUCAGUGAAUCAUCGAAUCUUUGAACGCACAUUGCGCCCAUUAGCAUUCUAGUGGGCAUGCCUGUUCGAGCGUCAUUUCAACCCUUAAGCCCUGUUGCUUAGCGUUGGGAGCCUACAGUACUGUAGUUCCCCAAAGUUAGUGGCGGAGUCGGUUUCACACUCUAGACGUAGUAAAUUUUUCUCGUCUGUAGUUGAGCCGGUCCCCUGCCGUAAAACACCCAAUUUAUCAAGGUUGACCUCGGAUCAGGUAGGAAUACCCGCUGAACUUAAGCAUAUCAAUAAGCGGAGGA
rnacentral:misc_RNA from 1 species